UGAUGUUGAAAACCUCGAUGCUCAGCGUACCACUUACCUACAAGAGCUCUUCACGAAGUGGUACGUUGAGUGGAAAAGCUACCUCCACAAAUAUUUUGAAUCUUUUUCAGAUAUGGAGAUUACUCUCGAAGGCUGCCUAAAGGAAUCCCAAAGGAUUGGGCAUGGCUGUGCAAGCAUUUUUAGGAUUCGAAAUUUUUUGUAGGUUGAAAAAGAAAUUUCUCUACCACUCCGGUUUAAAGCCUUUCUCCAACAGGUUGGAGAAGUUAUAACAGGCUACUAUGGUGGAGAAGAGCAAUGCUUUUCUCUACCGAGACGUUGGAUUAGACCCUCAGUCGUAGGUCUGGUAAGGGAUGGGGAGAGCGCGACACUAUGAAACUGGUGGCUCAUCUUUUUCAGAGAGUUGGGGACUUGAAGCGGUAGCUUGCGGCCUAGAAAGACCAUAUGAGA